rnacentral:rRNA from 1 species
UACGUAGGGUGCGAGCGUUGUCCGGAAUUAUUGGGCGUAAAGAGCUCGUAGGCGGUGUGUCACGUCGGCCGUGAAAACCUGCAGCUUAACUGUGGGCGUGCGGUCGAUACGGGCAUCACUGGAGUUCGGCAGGGGAGACUGGAAUUCCUGGUGUAGCGGUGAAAUGCGCAGAUAUCGGGAGGAACACCGAUGGCGAAGGCAGGUCUCUGGGCCGAUACUGACGCUGAGGAGCGAAAGCGUGGGGAGCGAACAGG